CUAAGAUUUACCAAAUCUUGUUUGUAAAAGUCCGAACUACAAAAAUCAUUUGAGGUUUGACCAAACUAUUUUGUGUAUCCUAGGUUUUACCGGUAUUCGUACUUUUACUGUAAAAUAUACACACAUACAUUUAAUAUUUAUUAUUAUUGAGUUUAUAUUAAAAUAUUUAUAUAUAAUAAAAUUUGUCGGUUAUAAUUUAUAAUAAACUAUGAAAAACAGGAAAAACAGAUAUCGAGAUCCUUGUUUUUUGUGCAAAUGUUGAUCGGAGAGAAUAUUAUAAUAAUAUGUGCCAUAUCUACUGUAGUUGAAAUGUGUUAGAACUUCUAGAGAUUGAAGUGAACCAAACUAAUUUCUGGCAAUAUUUGUAUUGUAGUGGAAGACACUUGAUUACUGACAUUUUGUUGAUUUCCUACAGUAGAAUAUAUUCACAACGAUAAACAGAGACCUUAUUUGAAAUUGGAAAUUAAUGUUUGGAUUAUUAAACUAUUCGGAGUUCAAAUCAAACAAUAUGUUGUUAAUUAUUUUACGUAUACUACUAUACAGUACAGCAACAAACUACCCAUAAUAUUUUAGUUGUAUGGAUUAAACGAUAUAAAAUAUGGAUCUAAACGGAUAUUAAAUACUCAAAGUUCGUAAAAAGUAAGUAAAUAUUUUGUUUUAAAAAUAUUAUAAUAUGCAAUAUAGAUUAACGGAGUGUCCGAGUAGACAAGACAUCGGUUACCAUUAUCUAACUGGUUCAGACACAAUCUAUAGAUUAUUAUGAUAUAUUAUA